UCUCUGUGCAGGAGCUCUUAAUAGAAGAGACUAAAGAAAAGCCAGAAAGUACUGCUGCUUUCUGUCAGGAACGGUUUAAAAACAACUGGCCAUCUGACAGAAGAAGCCGCUGUGAGGAAAGAGACUUUUAAAAUGACAGAAACAUGUUAAUCAAGUUGGACUGAACAUGAAGACUCUGUUCUGACCAUUAAAAUUUUUGGCCUGCGAUUGUUUGAGAUGUUCACAUACUCAGGAUGCAUUUUCCCAGUAGAGAAAAGGCCAGGACAAGAACAUUAGACCGUCUCCAAAGUCAAAGGCUACACGUGAGCUAAAGAGAAUCGCCUUGUAUGUCCUUGGAAUCCCAGAUAGCCCUAGCCUCAAAGACAGAAAAAG